UAUGUGAUCGUCUCUCGCAUAUCAAUAAGCGGAGGAAAAGAAACUAACAAGGAUUCCCCUAGUAACGGCGAGUGAAGCGGGAAGAGCUCAAAUUUGAAAUCUUAAAGGGUUUCCCUUUACGAAUUGUAGUUUAAAGAAGUGUUUUCUGUUGAGGUUUUGGUAAAAGUUCUUUGGAAUAGGACAUCAUAGAGGGUGAGAAUCCCGUAUUUGACCUUUACUUUCAACUUUGUGAUACACUUUCAAAGAGUCGGAUUGUUUGGGAAUGCAGUCCAAAAUGGGUGGUAAAUUUCAUCUAAAGCUAAAUAUUGGCGAGAGACCGAUAGCGAACAAGUACCGUGAGGGAAAGAUGAAAAGAACUUUGAAAAGAGAGUUAAACAGUACGUGAAAUUGUCAAAAGGGAAGCGUUUGACACCAGUGUUGUUUUUCUGAAAAUCAAUUAAAGAACUGUUUAUGCUAAGCUUGUUUAGACUUUAUCAGCUAUCUGUUUAGUUUUGAGCUUUUCUUUAAUGCACUUUUCAGUUAACAAGUCAACAUCAAUUUCUUUUGCUGUAAAAAAGCUUGAGGAAGGUGGCUUGAGAUUCGUCUUAAGUGUUUAUAGCCUCUUGCCUAUGCAGUCGGAGAGAUUUGAGGUCUGCAGCGUAGAUCCUUCGGGGCUAAAUGCAUUUGUGCUAAGUUAUAGCAUUUUAUAGACAACCUUGUUGACUAUGAUUUGUCUUGUAGCUUACUCGCUUAUGUUAUUUUACCUACGCUUAGGAUGUUGAGUAGCGACAUACGCAC
rnacentral:rRNA from 1 species